UUCCCUGUGGCUCAGUUGGUAGAGCAUGGUGUUUGCAACGCCAGCAUGGUGUGUGCAACGCCAGGGUUGUGGGUUCGAUUCCCACGGGGGGCA
rfam:Salmo salar isolate Sally breed double haploid chromosome ssa04, whole genome shotgun sequence.